GCCCGGUUAGCUCAAUCGGUAGAGCGUGAGACUCUUAGUACGAGUACGCGAUCUCAAGGUUGCGGGUUCGACCCCCGCAUCGGGCU